rnacentral:lncRNA from 1 species
UUUAAAAUCUUAUUUUUUAACUACAAAUUUUUAAAAAGAUAGUAAAUUUAAAAUUCUUGGAUAAAGAGUUGUAUAACACUUUUAGUUAGGGCAUGUUCGGUUGUCCGUAAGUGAUCGAAGUGAAAAAAGUCACUUUUCAAAAAGUGACUUUUAUAAAAGUCACUUUUGAGUUCAAAGUGUUUGGUUUCAAAAAAGUGAAAGAAAAAAAAUACAGUUUUUAUGACUUUUAUUGUUUGGUUCUAUAUAAGAAAAUAAAAAAUAAAAUAAUUUUUUUUAUAUGCGUAGUUUUUGUUUUUGUUUUUUUUUUUUUUUUUUUUUUUUUUUUUUUUUUUUUUUUUGUAGAUAGUAUUGAAUAAGGCACGUCUCUUUCUUUGUUUUUUUUUUUUAAAAAAAAUAUUUUGGUUUUUUUUUAGUUAAGAUACGGUGGUUUUUUUUUAAAUUUUUUGUAGAUGGUAUGGAAAAAAGUUUUUGGAUGCGGUUCGUAAGUCACGUGGAGUAGGCAACCCACUUUCAACGACUUCAAAAUUUUUUUUGCCAAAGUAAAAAAAGUGGAUUUUAGUUAUAAUCCACUUCAAGGGUUCACUUUUCAAAAGUUACUUAUAUGUUUACUUUUAUAAUCCAAACAAUCGAAAUAAUCCCACUUCUACCACUUUUAUUGUUUCACUUACGGGCAACCAAACAUGCCCUUAUAGAUUUAGCACUUUUCUAUUCAGAAAGUGAAAUUCUACUUGUAUGUCCAA